GACGAACGCUGGCGGCGUGCCUAAUACAUGCAAGUAGAACGCUGAAGGAGGAGCUUGCUUCUCUGGAUGAGUUGCGAACGGGUGAGUAACGCGUAGGUAGCCUGCCUGGUAGCGGGGGAUAACUAUUGGAAACGAUAGCUAAUACCGCAUAAGAGUAGAUGUUGCAUGACAUUUGCUUAAAAGGUGCAAUUGCAUCACUACCAGAUGGACCUGCGUUGUAUUAGCUAGUUGGUGGGGUAACGGCUCACCAAGGCGACGAUACAUAGCCGACCUGAGAGGGUGAUCGGCCACACUGGGACUGAGACACGGCCCAGACUCCUACGGGAGGCAGCAGUAGGGAAUCUUCGGCAAUGGACGGAAGUCUGACCGAGCAACGCCGCGUGAGUGAAGAAGGUUUUCGGAUCGUAAAGCUCUGUUGUAAGAGAAGAACGAGUGUGAGAGUGGAAAGUUCACACUGUGACGGUAUCUUACCAGAAAGGGACGGCUAACUACGUG
rnacentral:rRNA from 1 species